AUUGACCUCGGAUCAGGUAGGGAUACCCGCUGAACUUAAGCAUAUCAAUAAGCGGAGGAAAAGAAACCAACAGGGAUUGCCUCAGUAACGGCGAGUGAAGCGGCAACAGCUCAAAUUUGAAAUCCGGUUCUCUCUUCAGGGCCCGAGUUGUAAUUUGUAGAGGAUGUUUCGGGCGCGGCGCGGGUCUAAGUCUUUUGGAACAGGGCGUCAUAGAGGGUGAGAACCCCGUAUGCGACCCGUGACCAAGCCCGUGUGAAACCCCUUCGACGAGUCGAGUUGUUUGGGAAUGCAGCUCAAAAUGGGUGGUAAAUUUCAUCUAAAGCUAAAUACCGGCCAGAGACCGAUAGCGCACAAGUAGAGUGAUCGAAAGAUGAAAAGCACUUUGGAAAGAGAGUCAAACAGUACGUGAAAUUGUUGAAA
rnacentral:rRNA from 1 species